rfam:Oryzias latipes DNA, chromosome12, strain: Hd-rR.
GCUGCCCCUUGAGAUGCAGCUCAGGCGUCUGUGCCUCUGCUGUGCAUUAGGAGGGCAGAAAGCGACAGGCUCUCGAUAGCUCCAGGUCCCCCGUGGUGGACUUUGAGUAUGGAACCGGGCCUGACAUG